UGGCUGUCUCAUUGAAAGCCGCUAGAGGCUCUUCCGCACUUCUCACUGUGAAUAUCACAGUGAGAAGUGCGGAAGAGCCUCUAGCAGCUUUCAAUG